CCUACGGGAGGCAGCAGUGGGGAAUAUUGCACAAUGGGGGAAACCCUGAUGCAGCGACGCCGCGUGAGCGAGGAAGUAUUUCGGUAUGUAAAGCUCUAUCAGCAGGGACGAAAAAAGACGAUACCUGACUAAGAAGCCCCGGCUAACUACGUGCCAGCAGCCGCGGUAAUACGUAGGUGGCGAGCGUUGUCCGGAAUAACUGGGCGUAAGGGGAGCGUAGGUGGUUGAUUAAGUUAAAUGUGAAAGCCCAGGGCUCAACUCUGGAACUGCAUUUAAUACUGGUCGGCUAGAGUACAGGAGGGGUAAACGGAAUUUCUAGUGUAGCGGUGAAAUGCGUAGAUAUUAGGAAGAACACCGGAGGCGAAGGCGGUUUACUGGACUGCAACUGACACUGAGGCUCGAAAGCGUGGGGAGCAAACAGGAUUAGAUACCCCAGUAGUC
rnacentral:rRNA from 1 species